rnacentral:rRNA from 1 species
AGAGUUUGAUUCCUGGCUCAGGACGAACGCUGGCGGCGUGCUUAACACAUGCAAGUCGAACGGUGANGUCAGAGCUUGCUCUGGCGGAUCAGUGGCGAACGGGUGAGUAACACGUGAGUAACCUGCCCCCGACUCUGGGAUAACUGCUAGAAAUGGUAGCUAAUACCGGAUAUGACGACUGGCCGCAUGGUCUGGUCGUGGAAAGAAUUUCGGUUGGGGAUGGACUCGCGGCCUAUCAGGUUGUUGGUGAGGUAAUGGCUCACCAAGCCUACGACGGGUAGCCGGCCUGAGAGGGUGACCGGCCACACUGGGACUGAGACACGGCCCAGACUCCUACGGGAGGCAGCAGUGGGGAAUAUUGCACAAUGGGCGCAAGCCUGAUGCAGCAACGCCGCGUGAGGGAUGACGGCCUUCGGGUUGUAAACCUCUUU